AGUGAACGCUGGCGGUAGGCCUAACACAUGCAAGUCGAACGGCAGCACAGGAGAGCUUGCUCUCUGGGUGGCGAGUGGCGGACGGGUGAGGAAUACAUCGGAAUCUACUUUGUCGUGGGGGAUAACGUAGGGAAACUUACGCUAAUACCGCAUACGACCUACGGGUGAAAGCAGGGGACCUUCGGGCCUUGCGCGAUUGAAUGAGCCGAUGUCGGAUUAGCUAGUUGGCGGGGUAAAGGCCCACCAAGGCGACGAUCCGUAGCUGGUCUGAGGGGAUGAUCGGCCACACUGGAACUGAGACACGUGCCAGACUCCUACGGGAGGCAGCAGUGGGGAAUAUUGGACAAUGGGCGCAAGCCUGAUCCAGCCAUACCGCGUGGGUGAAGAAGGCCUUCGGGUUGUAAAGCCCUUUUGUUGGGAAAGAAAUCCAGCUGGCUAAUACCCGGUUGGGAUGACGGUACCCAAAGAAUAAGCACCGGCUAACUUCGUGCCAGCCGCCGCAGUAA
rnacentral:rRNA from 1 species